UCCCUGGAGGACUAGUGGUUAGGCCUUAGCACUAUCACCGCUGCACAGCCCGGGUUCAAUUCCCAGCCAGGGAA